AUUGAACGCUGGCGGAAGGCCUAACACAUGCAAGUCGAGCGAGAGGCGGACGGGUGAGUAAUGUAUGGGGACUGCCCGAUAGAGGGGGAUAACUACUGGAGACGGUGGCUAAUACCGCAUACUAUCGGAUAACCCAUAUGGGAUUAUCUAGUAGGUGGGGUACAGGCUCACCUAGGCGACGAUCUCUAGCUGGUCUGAGAGGAUGAUCAGCCAAACUGUGACUGAGACACAGCCCAGACUCCUACGGAGGCAGCAGUGGGGAAUAUUGCACAUUGGGCGCAAGCCUGAUGCAGCCAUGCCGCGUGUAUGAAGAAGGCCUUAGGGUUGUAAAGUACUUUCAGCGGGGAGGCGUUACCCGGAGAAGAAGCACCGGCUAACUCCGUGCCAGCAGCCGCGGUAAUUC
rnacentral:rRNA from 1 species